GACGAACGCUGGCGGCGUGCUUAACACAUGCAAGUCGAGCGGUAAGGCCCUUUCGGGGGUACACGAGCGGCGAACGGGUGGGUAACACGUGGGUGACCUGCCCUUAGCUCUGGGAUAAGCCUGGGAAACUGGGUCUAAUACCGGAUAUGACUCCAUGACGCAUGUUGUGGGGUGGAAAGCCUUGUGCGGCUAGGGAUGGGCCCGCGGCCUAUCAGCUUGUUGGUGGGGUGAUGGCCUACCAAGGCGACGACGGGUAGCCGGCCUGAGAGGGCGACCGGCCACACUGGGACUGAGACACGGCCCAGACUCCUACGGGAGGCAGCAGUGGGGAAUCUUGCGCAAUGGGCGAAAGCCUGACGCAGCGACGCCGCGUGAGGGAUGACGGCCUCGG
rnacentral:rRNA from 1 species